rnacentral:ribozyme from 1 species
UUUCUCCUUUCUCCUUUCAUUUCAUUUGAUUUGGAUAUAUAAUAGUAGCGUGAUCAGCCAGCAGACAGAUGAUGGUUCGGAAAAGAACGGAAAGACUUAGUAGUACUACAAAGAAAAUUUAUUUAUUUUUAUUUUUAUUUGCUUAUUUAUUUAUU